UAACCUGCCCAAGAGAUCGGGAUAACACCUGGAAACAGAUGCUAAUACCGGAUAACAACAGAUGAUGCCUAUCAACUGUUUAAAAGAUGGUUCUGCUAUCACUCUUGGAUGGACCUGCGGUGCAUUAGCUAGUUGGUAGGGUAACGGCCUACCAAGGCGAUGAUUCAUAGCCGAGUUGAGAGACUGAUCGGCCACAUUGGGACUGAGACACGGCCCAAACUCCUACGGGAGGCAGCAGCU
rnacentral:rRNA from 1 species